rnacentral:lncRNA from 1 species
AUGCUGGCCCUACCUCUGGGCAAGUGCCAAAGACUUGGCUUUUCCCUGUCUGCAAAACGGGUUGAUGCAGGAUUAAGUAACACAAGUGAACAACUAACCCCGGGGCACAGCAAACCCAUGAUAAGCCAACUAGCAUCUGUACCUCCUCACAAAUGUGACACUGCACAUGUCCAGCCCAGUUCCAGGCUUGUUCCCCACAAAACCCACAACAAAUGUCAUUUACUUCUUUCCCCCAAAUCCUGGAUCUCAGCUCUGGGUGGGGAAGGGUCAGCUAUGCUUUCUUGGUAUAAUUAUCGUUCCUUUAUUUGGAUGUUCCCAGGCUUGUUUUACACCAAUUGUUUGAAUCUUCAUUUCUGUACGUGCUUCAUACUGUUUGGGGAGAAAUCUCUCAGUAGCAGUUCCCCAGAAUGUGCCUUGUGGAGACAUGGUGGAAAGGAAAAAGAACCCAGUUCCUGGAGCUCCAGUAGGUGCCUGCAUGUGGUCACAGGACUUCUUGACUUCAAGGCGUUGACUUCUACUGAAAUGAUGAGCCAAGUAUGCUACAGCUCCAAGGGCAGCAGUUAAGAAAGUGUUUUUGGUGGAAUCAGGGGGCCGCAGUGACUACAGUUGGAGAAUCCUGCUGUGGAUCUUUGUUGUGUUGUAGUCUCCCCACAUCGUCCUUGGGCCUCGAAUUGCUUGUGGUCAAAUAGAAGCAUGCAAUCCAAUUCCAGCCAGAUUGCAUGCAAGAGAAUUAUGAGCAUUUUCUAAAAUAAAAACCGCAUCUCCAUAUAUAAGUACA